UCUGGUGCGAUACCGGCUGAAGCAAGUAGAUACCCAAGUAGCAACCGAAGCUUUUUUCUCCCAGUUUCAACCCCCUCAUGUCCAAAAACUGCCUUCGCUUACUAUUCCUAUCCCGUUUCUACAUUCCACAACGUUUGUUGCGUUCUCGCUCAUCUGGGUGUUAGUCAAUUCUCUCUUGCCACACGAAGAGAAUUCUCCUGCACACUUCGUAUGUUGGAUUCUACCCAUCCCUGUUGAACACACGUCAUUUUCUUCCAUCGCACUCAUCAGGGUGUUUGCUCUUUUCCAUCCAAGCCAAAGAGCGACUUCAGUGUGCUCUGAACCGUGGAUGUGAGAGUGUGUGUUUGUGUGCUGCGUGAACUAUUUUUCCUGCGUGAAACACUUUCCAUACUGCGCCAUCCGCGGUGUUCUUUCUGCUUCAUCAGAGGACGAAUUUUUAUCAUCUAAUUGUUUGGUUUCAGAUGUGUGCUGCUACCGCUAGCUGUUCCUCAAACUACUUAAAAAGUGUGACACUGUGUGCACAGGCGUUAGAGUUUCAAUUGAUCCUCAAGCACAAAGGUUAGUUUGUCACAUCUUUAAAUCAAGUGUAAUCUUUUUAACAAAGUGUGUCUAUUAAUUGUGUACUUUCAUCAACAGCCUUCAUACAACACCGCGGUUGAGGCGCGCCAAAUCUGAUGACAUCUUUCCUGAACCAAGCAGGCUGAACACGCGCACCACCACGGGCUCCAGCGCGGUGUGAAGAGGGAAGAAGAAAAGACAGAAUUGGAAACAGCCGCGCCAGGCUUCCAACCACCGUGUGUGUGUAUGUAAGUAUGUGAGAA